rnacentral:lncRNA from 1 species
ACCUGCUACAACUAAAUACAACAUUAUCAACCUGCUACAACAUUAUCAACCUGUACAACUAAACACAACAUUACCGACCUGCUACAACUCAACACAACAUUACCGACCUGCUACAACUCAACACAACAUUACCAACCUGCUACAACUCAACACAACAUUACCAACCUGCUACAACUAAAUACAACAUUAUCAACCUGCUACAACAUUAUCAACCUGUACAACUAAACACAACAUUAUCGACCUGCUACAACUAAACACAACAUUAUCGACCUGCUACACAGAGAGGAACCAAGCAUAAAUGUCUUUUUCCAUUGAUUGAAAAUAGCUGUCACUGCAGGGGGAUGUUUGUAGCCAUCUUUUCAUUUUAUUUUCUCCUUCAUGUGGGAACAUCUAUAAUAUUAGACCCAUCUCUUUAUUCUCUUGAAUGACCUGUACAGACCAGGGUCUGUACCGACCCCGAGCUGGACUGAGGAGGUUUUAUACAGACCAGGGUCUGUACCGAGCUGGACUGAGGAGGUUUUAUACAGACCAGGGUCUGUAUCGACCCAGAGCUGGACUGAGGGGUUUUAUACAGACCAGGGUCUGUACCGACCCAGAGCUGGACUGAGGAGGUUUUAUACAGACCAGGGUCUGUGAUCAACCAAGAUGGACUGAGGAGGUUUUAUACAGACCAGGAUCUGUACCGACCCCGAGCUGGACUGAGGAGGUUUUAUACAGACCAGGGUCUGUACCGACCCCGAGCUGGACUGAGGAGGUUUUAUACAGACCAGGGUCUGUACCGACCCCGAGCUGGACUGAGGAGGUUUUAUACAGACCAGGGUCUGUACCGACCCCGAGCUGGACUGAGGAGGUUUUAUACAGACCAGGGUCUGUACUGAGCUGGACUGAGGAGGUUUUAUACAGACCAGGGUCUGUACCGACCCCGAGCUGGACUGAGGAGGUUUUAUACAGACCAGGGUCUGUGAUCAACCAAGAUGGACUGAGGAGGUUUUAUACAGACCAGGAUCUGUACCGACCCAGAACUGAACUGAGGAGGUUUUAUACAGACCAGGGUCUGUACCGACCCAGAGCUGGACUGAGGAGGUUUUAUACAGACCAGGGUCUGUACCGACCCAGAGCUGGACUGAGGAGGUUUUAUACAGACCAGGGUCUGUACCGACCCCGAGCUGCACUGAGGAGGUUUUAUACAGACCAGGGUCUGUACCGACCCCGAGCUGGACUGAGGAGGUUUUAUACAGACCAGGGUCUGUACCGAGCUGGACUGAGGAGGUUUUAUACAGACCAGGGUCUGUAUCAACCCCGAGCUGGACUGAGGAGGUUUUAUACAGACCAGGGUCUGUACCGACCCCGAGCUGGACUGAGGAGGUUUUAUACAGACCAGGGUCUGUAUCGACCCAGAGCUGGACUGAGGGGUUUUAUACAGACCAGGGUCUGUACCGAGCUGGACUGAGGAGGUUUUAUACAGACCAGGAUCUGUACCGACCCAGAACUGGACUGAGGAGGUUUUAUACAGACCAGGGUCUGUAUCGACCCAGAGCUGGACUGAGGAGGUUUUAUACAGACCAGGGUCUGUACCGACCCAGAACUGGACUGAGGAGGUUUUAUACAGACCAGGGUCUGUACCGACCCAGAGCUGGACUGAGGAGGUUUUAUACAGACCAGGGUCUGUGAUCAACCAAGAUGGACUGAGGAGGUUUUAUACAGACCAGGGUCUGUACCGACCCAGAACUGGACUGAGGAGGUUUUAUACAGACCAGGGUCUGUACCGACCCAGAGCUGGACUGAGGAGGUUUUAUACAGACCAGGGUCUGUGAUCAACCAAGAUGGACUGAGGAGGUUUUAUACAGACCAGGGUCUGUAUCGACCCAGAGCUGGACUGAGGGGUUUUAUACAGACCAGGGUCUGUACCGACCCAGAGCUGGACUGAGGAGGUUUUAUACAGACCAGGGUCUGUAUCGACCCCGAGCUGGACUGAGGAGGAUUUAUACAGACCAGGGUCUGUACCGAGCUGGACUGAGGGGUUUUAUACAGACCAGGGUCUGUACCGAGCUGGACUGAGGAGGUUUUAUACAGACCAGGGUCUGUACCGACCCAGAGCUGGACUGAGGAGGUUCUAUACCUGGUCUGUGUUCAACCAAGAUGGAAGAGGAACGACUCAAACAUCCGAAUCUUAGUGCCAAGGUUACCGUGGAAACAGAGGAGGGGAACUGAUUUGUCUAAGUAACUAAUAUUAAAACAUUAAAAAAAUAAGUGUUAUGUAAA